CCUACGGGUGGCUGCAGUUUCGAAUCAUUCACAAUGGGCGAAAGCCUGAUGGUGCGACGCCGCGUGAGGGAUGAAGGUCUUCGGAUUGUAAACCUCUGUCACUGGGGAGAAAACGCUUUGAGUUAAUAGUUCAAAGCCUGAUUUAACCCGGAGAGGAAGCAGUGGCUAACUCUGUGCCAGCAGCCGCGGUAAUACAGAGACUGCAAGCGUUAUUCGGGUUCAAUGGGCGUUGAGUGUGCCAAGGGGGUUGUCCCAAGGCUUAACCGCGGAACUGCGUCUGAAACUACUCGACUAGAGUACUGGAGAGGGAAACGGAAUUCACGGUGUAGCAGUGAAAUGCGUAGAUAUCGUGAGGAACACCAGAGGCGAAGGCGGUUUCCUGGACAGUUACUGACGCUCAGGCACGAAAGCAUGGGGAGCAAAAGGGAUUAGAUACCCCGGUAGUC
rnacentral:rRNA from 1 species